UACGGAGGAUGCAAGCGUUAUCCGGAAUGAUUGGGCGUAAAGCGUCCGCAGGUGGCUAUGUAAGUCUGCUGUUAAAGAGUGAGGCUCAACCUCAUAAGAGCAGUGGAAACUACAUAGCUAGAGUGCGUUCGGGGCAGAGGGAAUUCCUGGUGUAGCGGUGAAAUGCGUAGAUAUCAGGAAGAACACCGGUGGCGAAAUCGCUCUGCUAGGCCGCAACUGACACUGAGGGACGAAAGCUAGGGGAGCGAAUGGG
rnacentral:rRNA from 1 species